rnacentral:lncRNA from 1 species
GUUUCGUCUUUUGUUUUUUUUCCAUUUUUACUCACUCAAAUCUACAUGCUCCACUUUUCUUUUUUGGUGUAAUAAUAAUCAUCAACCUGGCUGCACAAAAAUGAUUUUCAUCAUUACCUCCUUUUCAGAUCUUUCAUUUUCAUUUUCUCAUCUAAAUAGUUAUCAUGAUGUUUUCUCUGUCAGCUUCAUCAUCAUUACCUAUCUUUCUUCUCAUUAACUGGAUCUGAUCCGAUCUGUCUCUUUCUGCCAUUUUUUUCAAACAUCUCGUUGCCUUUCAACCCACCACAACCUCCCCCUCUUUUUCCUUUGCCUUUCUCUCUCCACCUUUUCUUUUCUCUCUCUCUCUCUCUCUCUCUCUCUCUCUCUCUCUCUCUNNNNNNNNNNNNNNNNNCUACAUUUUGGUCCUAAUCUCUACAAUUAUAAGCUAAUGAUGUACCCUAUGUGAAGAACCAAGACGGGACAGGAUAGACGUUAUUUUUUGUCAACUUUAUUGUUAUGAUGAUGAGACACAUUAUUGAGGCCUGAGUGGUUCAGGACCAAAUUCCGAAAUCUUGUAUAAUGGAUCACCUUCUUAAUUUGUCUGGAUUUAUUUCAAAUUGAGAAACAACAAAGGCAUAAGCAUUUAACCACUCUUGUGAUUUGUUGCAUCAAUUCAGGUGCUACUAUCUGGCUCUCUACUGGUAGCUUAGCUCUAGGUUUAUAAUGUCGCAGACCUUAGUUUUGCUUAGUUUUCUUUCACUUUUUAACCUUAACUUUAUAUCUCAUUUUGAACCUAAACCCUAAUUCCAGCACUUCCCAUGUUCAUUUCUUUAGUUCAAAAGUGAAUUUUCACUAAGGUGGUCAGAUGGAGUAUUAAAAGUGAGAGGAGAAAGAAAAAGUUAUAAUGCUUAGUCAUCACUAAAGCCAGGGUUUUUCUUAGAUCCUGAAUUUUUGAGAGCAACUAGAAAGAUAUCAUUUGAUUACAAUCACAUAAAAAAUCCAAGAAAUAUAGUCAAAUGCUGCGAAAGGAAAGGAUUCUUUUUAUCUUACUGAACAUGCGGAAUAAGUAGUUGUGCAAGUGGUAAGGAUUUUUUUAGUUUUUUUGUUGGUUGGGGGCGUUUUCUUUGUAUUUAACCUUUUGAUUUCUUCAUGAACAUAAGCUACAGGGUUCCCAAAGAGAGAAUGACAUCAAGCCAAAGUUUGAAUGAGAAGCUAGCUAGGGCCAUAGGGAAACAGUCCUUAUUACUCAGCAUUUAGCAUUUGCUUUAUUUUAUCACCCUGCUCAUUGUCAUUGAUACUUGCACGCAAUGUGUACUUUAAGCACACACGCCUGCGUUAAUUGGCAUAGAAUUUGGUAUUUCUCUCGUCAAUUUGUGUAUGUUUGAAAUGUUAAUAUGAUUCAGACAAAUAUAGUUAUGAUGGUAUCCAUAUUAUUGUCCUCACCGGUGUUCUAAAAUGAGAGUAGUUGCUGUAAAGUAACUGUAUGAGGAGUGUGCGAACGCUACAUAUGUUUUGAGUGUGUGAGAUAAAAAAGUGCUCAGUUUGGGAAAUUGGAUCUUUUGAAACUUUCUGCAAACAAAAACAAAACAUACAAAAAGUUGAAGUGAACUCGAAGCCAGAUGGGUACGUUUACUUUAAUUUGUGUUUCCCUAUGCAUUAUUAUUAUAUUGUAAAGCUGAGUCAGAUUUGUUGAAUGUUGAAUUCUUCACAUUUUUUGACAUCUUUUUGUACGACUGUUUGGAUAGGAAUUCGUUGAUCUGGAGGACUUGCAUUGGUAGAUAAGGGUAUAGUACAAUGAGGCUGUCAAACUUUCUAUUCGGUUGCCCUUCUGUCACACAUACUAUAUAUUAUAGUGCAAACAAACAUACAAAGAUCGUAUUUUCUCGUAUAAAUAGACAAACACCUACACACAUUUUCGUGUGUGAUGAUUUAUGUUUAUUACAUUUUCAGGACCAGAGAUAUCAUACUUCUAAUAAUUCUUAAUUAUAUGUUAUUUUUAUAUGAAAAUAUUUU